GAUGAACGCUGGCGGCGUGCCUAAUACAUGCAAGUCGAGCGAACAGAUGAGGAGCUUGCUCCUCUGACGUUAGCGGCGGACGGGUGAGUAACACGUGGAUAACCUACCUAUAAGACUGGGAUAACUUCGGGAAACCGGAGCUAAUACCGGAUAAUAUAUUGAACCGCAUGGUUCAAUAGUGAAAGACGGUUUUGCUGUCACUUAUAGAUGGAUCCGCGCCGCAUUAGCUAGUUGGUAAGGUAACGGCGUACCAAGGCAACGAUGCGUAGCCGACCUGAGAGGGUGAUCGGCCACACUGGAACUGAGACACGGUCCAGACUCCUACGGGAGGCAGCAGUAGGGAAUCUUCCGCAAUGGGCGAAAGCCUGACGGAGCAACGCCGCGUGAGUGAUGAAGGUCUUCGGAUCGUAAAGCUCUGUUAUUAGGGAAGAACAAGUGUGUAAGUAACUAUGCACGUCGUGACGGUACCUAAUCAGAAAGCCACGGCUAACUACGUG
rnacentral:rRNA from 1 species